rnacentral:rRNA from 1 species
UACGAAGGUCCCGAGCGUUGUUCGGAAUCACUGGGCGUAAAGGGAGCGUAGGCGGUUUGGUAAGUCAGAUGUGAAAUCUUGGGGCUCAACCCUGAAACUGCAUCCGAUACUGCCUGACUUGAGUAAUGGAGGGGUAACUGGAAUUCUCGGUGUAGCAGUGAAAUGCGUGGAUAUCGAGAGGAACACUCGUGGCGAAGGCGAGUUACUGGACAUUUACUGACGCUGAGGCUCGAAGGCUAGGGUAGCGAAAGGG